GGUGAACGUUGGCGACGUGCCUAACACAUGCAAGUCGAGCGGAGAAGCAGAGAGAGAACUUUUCGGAGUGAACUUUUUUCGGAUCAGCGGCGGACGGGUUAGGAAUACAUGAGGAACCUGCGCUCUACAAGGGGAUAGCCGGGGGAAAACGCGAUUAAUACCCUGUGAGAACACGAAAGCUCAUGCUAUUGAGGUUAAAGAUGUAACGGUAGAAGAUGGCCUCAUGACCCACUAGCUAGGUGGUGAUUUGACGGGCCACCAAAGCGACGAUGGGUAGCCGGCUAGAGAGACUGAACCGCCACUCUUGAACGGGGACACAGUCCAGACUCCUACGGGAUGCAGCAGUGGGGAAUAUUGCACUAUGGCGGAAACCCUGAUGCCGCUCCGUCGCGUGAGCCAAGUAGGCCUUCGGGUCGUACAGCUCUGUACUAUGGCAAGAAAAGGACGGUACCAUAGAAAGAAGCACCGGCUAACUACGUG
rnacentral:rRNA from 1 species